rnacentral:rRNA from 1 species
AUACGUAGGUGGCAAGCGUUGUCCGGAAUUACUGGGUGUAAAGGGCGUGUAGGCGGGGAUGCAAGUCAGAUGUGAAACCCCAUGGCUCAACUGUGGGCUUGCAUCUGAAACUGUGUUUCUUGAGUGUUGGAGAGGGAAGUGGAAUUCCUAGUGUAGCGGUGAAAUGCGUAGAGAUUAGGAGGAACACCAGUGGCGAAGGCGACUUCCUGGCCAACAACUGACGCUGAGGCGCGAAAGCGUGGGGAGCAAACAGGAUUAGAUACCCUGGUAGUCCACGCCGUAAACGAUGGAUACUAGGUGUAGGUGGUAUAAGCCAUCUGUGCCGCAGUAAACACAUUAAGUAUCCCACCUGGGGAGUACGACCGCAAGGUUGAA